UACGAAGGGGGCUAGCGUUGCUCGGAAUUACUGGGCGUAAAGUGCACGUAGGCGGUCUUUUAAGUCGGGGGUGAAAUCCUGGAGCUCAACUCCAGAACUGCCUUCGAUACUGGAAGACUCGAGUCCGGGAGAGGUGAGUGGAACUGCGAGUGUAGAGGUGAAAUUCGUAGAUAUUCGCAAGAACACCAGUGGCGAAGGCGGCUCACUGGCCCGGUACUGACGCUGAGGUGCGAAAGCGUGGGGAGCAAACAGG
rnacentral:rRNA from 1 species